AUUGAACGCUGGCGGCAGGCCUAACACAUGCAAGUCGAGCGGAUGAAGGGAGCUUGCUCCUGGAUUCAGCGGCGGACGGGUGAGUAAUGCCUAGGAAUCUGCCUGGUAGUGGGGGAUAACGUCCGGAAACGGGCGCUAAUACCGCAUACGUCCUGAGGGAGAAAGUGGGGGAUCUUCGGACCUCACGCUAUCAGAUGAGCCUAGGUCGGAUUAGCUAGUUGGUGGGGUAAAGGCCUACCAAGGCGACGAUCCGUAACUGGCCUGAGAGGAUGAUCAGUCACACUGGAACUGAGACACGGUCCAGACUCCUACGGGAGGCAGCAGUGGGGAAUAUUGGACAAUGGGCGAAAGCCUGAUCCAGCCAUGCCGCGUGUGUGAAGAAGGUCUUCGGAUUGUAAAGCACUUUAAGUUGGGAGGAAGGGCAGUAAGUUAAUACCUUGCUGUUUUGACGUUACCAACAGAAUAAGCACCGGCUAAUUUCGUG
rnacentral:rRNA from 1 species